GAUGAGCGCUGGCGGCGUGCUUAACACAUGCAAGUCGAACGGUGAAAGAGAGCUUGCUCUCUGGAUCAGUGGCGAACGGGUGAGUAACACGUGAGCAAUCUGCCCCUGACUCUGGGAUAAGCGCUGGAAACGGCGUCUAAUACCGGAUACGAGCUGCGAAGGCAUCUUCAGCAGCUGGAAAGAACUUCGGUCAGGGAUGAGUUCGCGGCCUAUCAGCUAGUUGGUGAGGUAACGGCUCACCAAGGCGUCGACGGGUAGCCGGCCUGAGAGGGUGACCGGCCACACUGGGACUGAGACACGGCCCAGACUCCUACGGGAGGCAGCAGUGGGGAAUAUUGCACAAUGGGCGAAAGCCUGAUGCAGCAACGCCGCGUGAGGGACGACGGCCUUCGGGUUGUAAACCUCUUUUAGCAGGGAAGAAGCGAAAGUGACGGUACCUGCAGAAAAAGCACCGGCUAACUACGUG
rnacentral:rRNA from 1 species